UGUUCUCAGUUCGGACUGCAGUCUGCAACUCGACUGCACGAAGCUGGAAUCGCUAGUAAUCGCGGAUCAGCACGCCGCGGUGAAUACGUUCCCGGGCCUUGUACACACCGCCCGUCCACACCAUGGAAGUCGAUAACACCCGAAGCCUGUGAGCUAACCGCAAGGGGGCAGCAGUCGAAGGUGGGGUUGAUGAUUGGGGUGAAGUCGUAACAAGGUAGC
rnacentral:rRNA from 1 species